CAAGAAUUGUGGCUGAGCUGUGUAAAGAUUAAAGAACUGAAAGGACCAUGAGGCUAAAGAGAGUGAUUGCUGAUGGAGGAAGAAAUUUUAAAGAAAAUAACUCAAAACCUGAUGACUCUAUAGUCAGAGGCAGCACACAUAUUUACCUGGAUGUCAAAGUUGAGAAGGAGAAAUACAAAGCUUGGUUAAUAUUCUGAAGAGUAUUGGUGAGUAUGAUCUAAUUGGUGGGUUUUCCAUUGAUUCCCUAGAGACUGAAAAAGGUUGACU